rnacentral:rRNA from 1 species
CCUACGGGUGGCAGCAGUGAGGAAUAUUGGUCAAUGGACGAGAGUCUGAACCAGCCAAGUAGCGUGAAGGAUGACUGCCCUACGGGUUGUAAACUUCUUUUAUAAAGGAAUAAAACGAGGCACGUGUGCCUUUUUGUAUGUACUUUAUGAAUAAGGAUCGGCUAACUCCGUGCCAGCAGCCGCGGUAAUACGGCGGAUCCGAGCGUUAUCCGGAUUUAUUGGGUUUAAAGGGAGCGUAGAUGGGUUGUUACGUCAGUUGUGAAAGUUUGCGGCUCAACCGUAAAAUUGCAAUUGAUACUGGCAGUCUUGAGUACAGUUGAGGUAGGCGGAAUUCGUGGUGUAGCGGUGAAAUGCGUAGAUAUCACGAAGAACCCCGAUUGCGAAGGCAGCUUACUAAACUGUGACUGACAUUGAUGCUCGAAAGUGUGGGUAUCAAACAGGAUUAGAUACCCUUGUAGUC